UGCUCUGUCUGGGAAAACAUUUCUGAAAGGUCCUUUUCAGCUCAGGAGCUCUCGAACAUUGGAGGAGGUGGUGCUGGCUGCCUUCUUCCUUGUACUCCUUGAAAGGAGCUGGGGCCAGCAAGGUGGCUGGCUCAGUGGGUAACUGCCUGCCGCCAAGCCUGAAGACCACAGUGCAGUCGCUGGGACCCACAUGGUGGAAGGAGAGGCCAGUGUCUUGUCUGGUAGCUUGGUGACAGUUCUCUCCGGGUCCCUGGGAGUAACCCAAAAGUGAAGAUGAAGCUUACCAGAACCAUAUGGUUUUGCCAGGACGCUGCUAUCUGAGGGGUGUUUGUUGCUGCAGUGCUUCGUCAUCCAUCCUGACUAAAACAGGUGGGUUCACAAUGUCUGUCAGCGUUCACGAGACCCGCAAGUCGCGGAGCAGCACGGGCUCCAUGAACAUCUCGCUCUUCCACAAGGCCUCGCACCCCGACUGCGUGCUAGCCCACCUCAACACCCUCCGCAAGCACCGUAUGUUCACCGAUGUCACGCUCUGGGCCGGUGACCGAGCCUUCCCAUGCCACCGUGCAGUGCUGGCGGCCUCCAGCCGAUACUUUGAGGCCAUGUUCAGUCAUGGCCUGCGGGAAAGCCGGGACGAUUCGGUCAACUUCCAGGACAACCUGCACCCUGAGGUGCUGGAGCUGCUGCUGGACUUUGCCUACUCCUCCCGCAUUGUCAUCAACGAGGAGAACGCAGAGUCGCUGCUGGAGGCGGGCGACAUGCUGCAGUUCCAUGACGUCAGGGACGCAGCCGCCGAGUUCCUGGAGAAGAACCUCUCCCCCUCCAACUGCCUGGGCAUGAUGCUGCUGUCGGAUGCCCACCAGUGCCGACGGCUCUACGAGUUCUCCUGCCGAAUGUGCCUGGUGCACUUUGAGACGGUGCGGCAGAGCGAGGACUUCAACAGUCUGUCUAAGGACACGCUCUUGGACCUCAUCUCCAGUGACGAGCUGGAGACUGAGGAUGAGCGCGUGGUCUUUGAGGCCAUCCUGCAGUGGGUGAAACAUGACCUGGAUCAGAGGAAGGCCCAUCUGCCGCUGCUCCUGCGCAAUGUGCGGCUGGCCCUGCUGCCCUCUGACUGCCUGAAGAAGGUCGUUUCCGGGGAGGCCCUCUUCAUGGAGGACGAGCGCAGCAAGCUCCUCAUAGACGAAGCCUUCCGAUGCAAGACCAAGAUCUUGCUGAAUGAUGGUGUGGUCACCAGCCCCUUUGCCCGGCCUCGCAAGGCGGGCCACACGCUGCUCAUCCUGGGAGGCCAGACCUUCAUGUGUGACAAGAUCUACCAAGUGGACCACAAAGCCAAGGAGAUUAUCCCCAAGGCGGAUCUGCCAAGCCCCCGGAAGGAGUUCAGCGCUUCGGCCAUUGGCUGCAAGGUCUAUGUGACCGGAGGCAGGGGCUCUGAGAAUGGGGUCUCUAAGGAUGUCUGGGUGUAUGACACUGUCCACGAGGAAUGGUCUAAGGCAGCCCCUAUGCUGAUUGCUCGCUUUGGCCAUGGCUCAGCUGAGCUGGAGAACUGUCUGUACGUGGUGGGGGGCCAUACCUCCCUAGCAGGUAUUUUCCCCGCCUCCCCUUCCAUCUCCCUGAAACAAGUCGAGAAAUACGACCCGGGGGCUAAUAAGUGGACUAUGAUGGCCCCAAUGAGAGAUGGUGUCAGCAAUGCUGCGGUGGUGAGCGCCAAGCUGAAACUCUUUGUGUUCGGGGGCACCAGCAUCCACCGGGACAUGGUGUCCAAAGUCCAGUGUUUUGACCCCUCGGAGAACCGGUGGACGAUAAAGGCGGAGUGUCCCCAGCCUUGGCGAUACACAGCUGCCGCCGUCCUGGGCAGCCAGAUCUUUAUCAUGGGAGGUGAUACAGAGUAUACAGCAGCUUCAGCCUAUCGCUUUGACUGUGAGACCAACCAGUGGACUCGGAUUGGGGACAUGACUGCCAAACGCAUGUCCUGUCAUGCCCUGGCUUCCGGCAACAAGCUGUAUGUGGUGGGAGGCUACUUUGGGACCCAGAGGUGUAAGACCUUGGACUGCUAUGACCCCACCUCAGACACGUGGAACUGCAUCACCACUGUGCCCUACUCCCUCAUCCCCACUGCUUUUGUCAGCACCUGGAAGCAUCUGCCUGCAUGAAGGGCACCUGCAUGGCCCAGCCAGGAACAUUCUCCAUGAAGCCUUCAGCAAGGAGGGCUUGCUCCUGGAUCCUUGCCAGGCUUCGUGGUUCUUCCUGACUUGGCUAGAAACUGACAGCACCAGCUCCGGGUGGCAGCAGCUCAAGCUGUUCUUAACACUAGGCAGAAAAGUGAAGUUCUCCAGCGUCACCUGUGCUCCGCUUCCUGAGCUGCCAGCGGCUUAUGUGGAGAGAAGCUUCCAGAGGCGUGGGCCGUCACCAGCAACCCUGGCUAGGGAGAUGACAUUCACACAAAGCCUUGAGGUCACCUCUGCCAGCCAGGCCUGGCAAGGGCUGGCAGGGGAACAGCAGGGGUCCCUUGACACCAACAGCACAGCCUUUGACUGCAGGGCUUCCUGCGGAAGGUGGGAAUGUUGCUCCAUACUGUCCUGGACAUCAGGGAGCCGAGUUCAACUGAAGACGUUUUAUAAGAGACAGAAACCCCGGGGCAACCCAGCCUCAGGGGGUAUCCACAGGCUCCACCAGCAGAUAGCACCAGACACCUAAGGCCAAGGGGAGACUGCCUGCGUGCCCUCUGCCAAGCACUACCCCAUCCCCCUAAGGGGUGAUUUUGGGAAGCUACCAUGAACAUAGGACAGAUGCUCUUGACCAGUCAGACACUGCUGGGGGUCCCUCAGCAGGACUCUAGGCCCCAGGGAGCUGGUUGGGGUCUCAGGAGACCCCCUCGCCCCAGUUCUGUGUCCUGUCUCCUAAGAAGAGAACGGUCAUGACCCCAUGGCCACUACAGUUCCCACAGAGAUUAGAUUUCUGUCAUGUGUGGUCUAGUGCCAAGGCUCUUGUCACACUUCCUAUCCUCCUUGGCACCAGCCGGCAGCCUGAAUCCUGCCUGUCUGAUUCUUGAGCUCAGAAAGAAGGAUCCGAAGAAACUGCCCAAAUGUGUUUCUCAAGGAUUCCACACCAGUUCCCUGCACUGGGUGCAGAGGCGCCUUCUGAUGCCAUUCUGGACGCUAGACUCACCCCUUGCUUGUCUAGCCUGAUUUUGGGGGGACAGGCGCUCUCGGUUUCUGGCACAGGGUGGGCAGGGUACCAUAGCUGGUGGCUUCCCAGGCCAUUGUUGCAUCUGGAUGGAGCGUCCAAAGUGGGUUCUGUUGUUGACAAAAGUGGAGCCACAGUCUAGACCAGUUUGGUCAGCCGUCAAGGUCCUCGAGGCUCAGCCCGGUACUGGUGCUGUGAGUGACUUAGUCACACACUGGCCCUUAUCUGAGGUCCAGCUUGUUUUUCAUUCCACCUCCUGGUCAGUCCUUCUGGAGAACUGCAGGCUUUUGGCCUGUGGACCACGUUAUCAGGACUCAUCACUCCGCACAGCACAGAGGACCUGGCCAUGGUGCUUGCCUGAGCAUGGGCGUUGCUUUUAUUAGUUUUCUAACUUAAUAAAAGUGAAGAAGUUCUUGACCUUA